GGGUUGUGAGGUUAAGUGACUAAGCGUACACGGUGGAUGCCUAGGCAGUCAGAGGCGAUGAAGGGCGUGCUAAUCUGCGAAAAGCGUCGGU
rnacentral:rRNA from 1 species